ACGCUCGACACCUACGAGAGGCAGCAGUAGGGAAUCUUCCACAAUGGGCGCAAGCCUGAUGGAGCAACACCGCGUGAGUGAAGAAGGGUUUCGGCUCGUAAAGCUCUGUUGUUGGAGAAGAACGUGCGUGAGAGUAACUGUUCACGCAGUGACGGUAUCCAACCAGAAAGUCACGGCUAACUACGUGCCUCGCAGCCGCGGUAAUCUGAGCGGGCUGGCAAGGC
rnacentral:rRNA from 1 species